rnacentral:rRNA from 1 species
CAUGCAAGUCGAACGAGGGCUUCGGCCCUAGUGGCGAACGGGUGAGUAACGCGUGGGAACCUGCCUUGGAGUGGGGGAUAACCACUGGAAACGGUGGCUAAUACCGCAUGUGCCCUGCGGGGCAAAGGCUUCGGCCGCUUUGAGAGGGGCCCGCGUCCGAUUAGCUAGUUGGUGGGGUAACGGCCUACCAAGGCUGCGAUCGGUAGCUGGUCUGAGAGGAUGAUCAGCCACACUGGGACUGCGACACGGCCCAGACUCCUACGGGAGGCAGCAGUGGGGAAUAUUGGACAAUGGGGGAAACCCUGAUCCAGCAAUGCCGCGUGCGUGACGAAGGCCUUCGGGUUGUAAAGCGCUUUCGCCCGCGACGAUGAUGACGGUAGCGGGAGAAGAAGCCCCGGCUAACUUCGUGCCAGCAGCCGCGGUAAUACGAAGGGGGCUAGCGUUGUUCGGAUUUACUGGGCGUAAAGCGCACGUAGGCGGAUUGUUAAGUCAGGGGUGAAAUCCUGGAGCUCAACUCCAGAACUGCCUUUGAUACUGGCAAUCUAGAGUCCGGAAGAGGUGAGUGGAACUCCUAGUGUAGAGGUGGAAUUCGUAGAUAUUAGGAAGAACACCAGUGGCGAAAGGCGGCUCACUGGUCCGGUACUGACGCUGA